rnacentral:rRNA from 1 species
AUUGAACGCUGGCGGCAUGCCUUACACAUGCAAGUCGAACGGCAGCACGGGAGCAAUCCUGGUGGCGAGUGGCGAACGGGUGAGUAAUAUAUCGGAACGUGCCCAGUCGUGGGGGAUAACGCAGCGAAAGCUGUGCUAAUACCGCAUACGAUCUAAGAAUGAAAGCGGGGGAUCGCAAGACCUCGCGCGAUUGGAGCGGCCGAUAUCAGAUUAGCUAGUUGGUGGGGUAAAGGCCCACCAAGGCGACGAACUGUAGCUGGUCUGAGAGGACGACCAGCCACACUGGAACUGAGACACGGUCCAGACUCCUACGGGAGGCAGCAGUGGGGAAUUUUGGACAAUGGGCGCAAGCCUGAUCCAGCAAUGCCGCGUGCAGGAUGAAGGCCUUCGGGUUGUAAACUGCUUUUGUACGGAACGAAACGGCCCUUUCUAAUACAGGGGGCUAAUGACGGUACCGUAAGAAUAAGCACCGGCUAACUACGUGCCAGCAGCCGCGGUAAUAC